GCCCGCGAGGGCAAAGCGACUGCAAUGGAAAAUUGCUUUUAAGCCUUUUCCCAUUGCAGUCGCUUUGCCCGCGCGGGC